GAUGAACGCUAGCGGCAGGCUUAAUACAUGCAAGUCGAGGGGCAGCACAGGGUAGCAAUACCUGGGUGGCGACCGGCAAACGGGUGCGGAACACGUACAGAACCUUCCUUCGAGCGGGGAAUAGCCCAGAGAAAUUUGGAUUAAUACCCCAUAGCAUAAUGGAGUGGCAUCACUUUGUUAUUAAAGAUUUAUCACUUGAAGAUGGCUGUGCGUAUGAUUAGGUAGUUGGCGGGGUAACGGCCCACCAAGCCUACGAUCAUUAACUGGUGUGAGAGCACGACCAGUCACACGGGCACUGAGACACGGGCCCGACUCCUACGGGAGGCAGCAGUAAGGAAUAUUGGUCAAUGGACGCAAGUCUGAACCAGCCAUGCCGCGUGGAGGAUGAAGGUCCUCUGGAUUGUAAACUUCUUUUAUCUGGGACGAAAAAAGGGAAUUCUUUCUCGUCUGACGGUACCAGAUGAAUAAGCACCGGCUAACUCCGUGCCAGCAGCCGCUGUAACAC
rnacentral:rRNA from 1 species